rnacentral:rRNA from 1 species
CAGGAACGCUGGCGGCAGGCUUAACACAUGCAAGUCGAGCGCCCCGCAAGGGGAGCGGCAGACGGGUGAGUAACGCGUGGGAAUCUACCCAUCUCUACGGAAUAACGCAUGGAAACGUGUGCUAAUACCGUAUACGUUCUUCGGGAGAAAGAUUUAUCGGAGAUGGAUGAGCCCGCGUUGGAUUAGCUAGUUGGUGGGGUAAAGGCCUACCAAGGCGACGAACCAUAGCUGGUCUGAGAGGAUGAUCAGCCACACUGGGACUGAGGACACGGCCCAGACUCCUACGGGAGGCAGCAGUGGGGAAUAUUGGACAAUGGGCGCAAGCCUGAUCCAGCCAUGCCGCGUGAGUGAUGAAGGCCCUAGGGUUGUAAAGCUCUUUCACCAGUGAAGAUAAUGACGGUAACCGGAGAAGAAGCCCCGGCUAACUUCGUGCCAGCCGCCGCCGUAAAAC